CCAGUCGGUCAGACAGCCGCUGCCGCAAGUGCUGAAAGGCCGCGGGGGAGGAAAGUCCGGGCUCCAUGGAAACACGGUGCCGGGUAACACCCGGCGAGGGCGACCUUAGGGAAAGUGCCACAGAAAGCAAACCGCCCCGAUCCGGUAGCAAUAUCGACUGCGGGGUAAGGGUGAAAGGGUGGGGUAAGAGCCCACCGCGCGGGCGGCAACGAACGCGGCAUGGUAAACCCCACCGGGAGCAAAACCGAAUAGGGAUAACGCGGGCUUUGCCCAGGCCGGUUUCCAGGCCAGUUGUCCGGGUAGGUUGCGAGAGGCGCUUGGCAAUAAGCGUCACAGAUGAAUGGCUGUCACGUUCGCAGGCUUGCCUGCGGGCCAUACAGAACCCGGCUUACAGGCCGACUGGCUAU
rnacentral:RNase_P_RNA from 2 species